rnacentral:lncRNA from 1 species
UGAUGCAGCCUCUGUAAUUCACAAGCAGAGCGUAAAACAUGGACAGCAGAAUGAUGCCGAAGGAAUGCAGCAGAACAGUCAGCUGAAAGCAUCGACACCUGAUUCCCAAACUGUCCAAGCUGAUCAAGAUUUGUCUGCUCAAAAGUGCCCAAUGGCUGAAAUCACAGUUACAGUGAUAGCAAAUCCAAAUGGUGCAGAGGAUGAAGUUGCUGA